ACACGACUACAUUAGAUACCCCUGUAGUCCUAGCCGUAAACGAUACUCGCUAGGUGUCGGCCACGGUGCGACCGUUGUCGGUGCCGUAGGGAAGCCGUGAAGCGAGCCACCUGGGAAGUACGGCCGCAAGGCUGAAACUUAAAGGAAUUGGCGGGAGCACCGCAACGGGAGGAGCGUGCGGUUCAAUUGGAUUCAACGCCGGACAACUCACCAGGAGCGACGGUUACAUGAAGGCCAGGCUGAUGACCUUGCCUGAUUUUCCG
rnacentral:rRNA from 1 species